rnacentral:misc_RNA from 1 species
AUUGCUUUGGACCCUGAAUAUUCUAGAAAAACAUCUAGAAGAUUUGUAGCUGGUGGUUUAGCUGGUCAUUUGUAUUUUAAUUGGAAAAAAUGGCUGGGCUAUCGAGACCAGGUUUUGCACUCUGGUGAAGGUCCAAUACAUGCUGUAAAGUGGAGAACAAGUCUCAUUGCAUGGGCUAAUGAUGCAGGCGUGAAAGUUUAUGAUGCUGCCAAUGAUCAGCGAAUAACAUUCAUUGAAAGACCACGAGGAAGUCCACGCCCUGAGCUUUUGCUCCCUCACUUAGUUUGGCAGGACGAUUCCCUCUUGGUUAUUGGCUGGGGAACAUCCGUGAAAAUUGCAUCAAUAAGAACAAAUGAGUAUAAUGGAACCAAUGGGACAUAUAAGCACAUUCCAGCAGCUAGUAUGAACAAGGUGGA